GUUUGGUGGGUGGCUUUACUGCCGGUGGUUUAGGUGGUUUAACGGCAGGUGGUUUAGGCGGUUUGACGGGAUGUUUAGGAGGUUUGUGAGGCGAUGGUGAUGGCUUAGGAGGGCUACAGUCGCAAGCAUAGGAGACGGCAACGAAGCCGAGAAGGAGGAGAACGAGGAAGGAGAGGUUUUGAGCACGAGACCCCAUUUUUUUAGAAUGAGGGGUUUGGGUUUGUGAAAGGAGUGAGUAAGUAGAUACAAUGAGUGUACAUGUACCUUUUAUAGAAAAAAAAUAACUCUUCUAAGAUAUUUUAUUUUGUAACAUAAAAUAGUGUAAAACACCAAAUAGUGAUACAGUAGUAUAUAGAUGAUUGGAAUUGGAUUUGAUUAAGCACGUAGUAU
rnacentral:lncRNA from 1 species